AACGCACAUUGCGCCCCCUGGUAUUCCGGGGGGCAUGCCUGUUCGAGCGUCAUUUCAACCAAACCAGCCCCGCUGGGUGUUGGGCGUCGCGGUCCGCCGCGCGCCUCAAAGUCUUCGGCGGAAGCCGCCCGUUCCUCUGCGUGAUGCAUCGUCGUCGCUCGGGACACGGGGGUGAGCGCCCGGAAAUCGUCGGCGGAGACGCCGACUUCAAGGUUGACCUCGGAUCAGGUAGGGAUACCCGCUGAACUUAA
rnacentral:misc_RNA from 1 species